rnacentral:rRNA from 1 species
UUCCGGUUGAUCCCGCCGGACCCCACUGCUGUCGGGAUAGGACUAAGACAUGCUAGUCGUGUGCCUCAGCCAAAACGAGGCACGGCGCACAGCUCAGUAACACGUGGCUAACCUGCCCUUAGGACGAGAAUAACCCCGGGAAACUGGGGCUAAUGCUCGAUAGGUGAAGAACUCUGGAAUGAGUCUUCACUUAAAAGAGUCUGCGUUAUGCUCGUAGAUUUCGCUUAAGGAUGGGGCCGCGACCGAUCAGGUUGUUGGUGAGGUAAUGGCUCACCAAGCCUUUUACCGGUGCGGGCCGUGAGAGCGGGAGCCCGGAGAUGGGCACUGAGACAAGGGCCCAGGCCCUACGGGGCGCAGCAGUCGCGAAAACUUUGCAAUACACGAAAGUGUGACAGGGCUAUCCCGAGUGCCAUCCGCUGAGGAAGGCUUUUACCCAGUCUAGAACGCUGGGGGAAUAAGGAGAGGGCAAGUCUGGUGUCAGCCGCCGCGGUAAUACCAGCUCUCCGAGUGGUGUGGAUGUUUAUUGGGCCUAAAGCAUCCGUAGCUGGCUAAGUUAGUCCCCUGUUAAGUCCAACGAAUUAAUCGUUGGAUCGCGGGGGAUACUGCUUGGCUAGGGGACGAGAGAGGCAGACGGUAUUUCCGGGGUAGGGGUGAAAUCCUAUAAUCCCGGGAAGACCACCAGUGGCGAAGGCUGUCUGCUAGAACGCGCCCGACGGUGAGGGAUGAAAGCUGGGGGAGCGAACCGGAUUAGAUACCCGGGUAGUCCCAGCUGUAAACGAUGCAGGCUAGGUGUUUGGACGGCCACGUGCCGUUCUAGUGCCGCAGGGAAGCUGUUAAGCCUGCCGCCUGGGGAGUACGAUCGCAAGAUUGAAACUUAAAGGAAUUGGCGGGGGAGCACCACAAGGGGUGAAGCUUGCGGUUUAAUUGGAGUCAACGCCGGG